CAGGUCACUCCUACGGGAGGCAGCAGUGGGGAAUAUUGGACAAUGGGCGCAACCCUGACCAAGCAACGCCGCGUGGGUGAUGAAGUCUCUUGGGACGUAAAACCCUUUCGACGGGGACGAAACCGCAAGGUUGACGGUACCCGUAGAAGAAGCACCGGCUAACUACGUGCCAGCAGCCGCGGUAAUACGUAGGGUGCAAGCGUUAAUCGGAAUUACUGGGCGUAAAGCGCGCGUAGGCGGCUUUGCAAGCCGGAUGUGAAAUCCCUCGGCUUAACCGGGGAACUGCGUCUGAUACUGGAUGGCUUGAGUUUGGGAGAGGGAUGCGGAAUUCCAGGUGUAGCGGUGAAAUGCGUAGAUAUCUGGAGGAACACCGGUGGCGAAGGCGGCGACCUGGGUAGAUACUGACGCUCAUGCACGAAAGCGUGGGGAGCAAACAGGAUUAGAUACCCUGGUAGUCCACGCCGUAAACGAUGGGCACUUGGUGUCGCGGGUAUCGACCCCUGCGGUGCCGAAGCUAACGCAUUAAGUGCCCCGCCUGGGGAGUACAGUCGCAAGGCUGAAACUUAAAGGAAUUGACG
rnacentral:rRNA from 1 species